UAGCAAUGUCCGACUUGGUUUCUAUCAGGAACUGCCCGACUUCUCUUAAACAAAAUUAUUCAUCACUUCAUUAACAGCAGGACGGAUGUUCAUCAUCAUCUGCACCCUCGCGUUAACGUCUGACACCCGGCGUGCAGUGGGGCCAGUAAGCACCGGAUGCGGCCAGCGCCCGGCUGCAGGCGGCCCUCUCAAUGGUCUCUCCCACCAUGAAAGCGGUGGUGGAUGCUGUAUGGGCGGUGUGGAGCAUCGGGGCCUCCAUCUAUGACUACAUCCACACCAACGCCAUGGAGGAGCGCAUCCACGCCCUGGAGAAUGUCAUCACCAUCCACCAGUGUGUGAUUGGGCUGCUGUCUGCUGGCGUAUUGGUACUCUUCACCUACAUCCUCUUCAAGAAGCUCUGAAGAUGUGUGAAGGGGUGGGCCGGGGCUGUGAUGCGAAAAGUGGACCAACCCAAUUCGGACGUUGGAGUUUAACGUGGUAGAGCAAACACUGAUCAGACAGACAAAGGGGAAUUUUACACUUCGGGUACAUUACAAAGGCUCAUAAGAGCUGCAGGGUAAAUGUAGUUUCCAUGGGAAGAAACUGUAAGGAGGAGAUGUAAUGGGACCUAACACACACUGGCACACUGUCGAGACGCAGCCUCAUGAAAAAACAAACUAUUAAUGAUCAAAGCAUGAGGUUUUAACUUUCUACUACUUUUUUUCCCCAACAUCACUGCAGUGCCACCUUUUUCAUAAAUCUAGCUUCGGGGAAAACAAUCUGAAGUUCAUGUGUUCUAUCAGUAAUAUAAUGGUUGUGUAGGAGGUGAGCAUGUGGGGCUACAGGGUCCAACUGUUUUUUAAAGGCUAGUGUAGAUAGUUUUUAUAGUGAUGACGACAUAUUUUAUGCACCAGUAUUCAGUAUCUUUUAAAUUUAAGAUUUAACACUUCAUUUUAAUGGUUUAAACACCAACAGAAUUAAUUGUUCCCUCCCAAAACUUUAUCCCUAACCAGCUUAAGCAUAAAUAAAAGCGUAUACAGCAUUAUACUUUUUAUGUUAACGUUUUGUUAUAUCCCACACCUGUUAUAACCCAUCACUGUUGGUGCGAGUGCUAUAUAAAAGACAAUAUGAAGUGUCCUUAAAAACUGUAAAUAUGUUUUUGAUGUUUGUGGGCAGCAUUUCUUUUAUCUGGCCAUUGAAAGUUUUCAUAGAUGUGCUACUACCCCAUAGUACUACUGCUGCUUAAUAUUUAUGGUUUUGUUUUUGUAACAUGUACCAGUGUAAGAUUUAAGAGAUGAUACUAGGCACUGACUGCAAACACUGGAUCAACGUAUGGUAUGAAAUGAUAAGUGUCUUUUACAGGAUAAAGGACGUUUUUGUCAUGGUAACUUAAUUUAACUUCACUUGCUGAGAGGACUGUUUAAAGAAGCGGUAAGUCAAUGGAAACUACUGCCACAAGAGUCCUGAGUUUAGAAAAAUAAGUGUAUGUGCUGUGUGUAUAUCUGUGUACAUUUGUAACUGUCCCAGAGGGAACAGAACAAGAGUAAACACCUAAGGAUGAAACAUUGUUUUAAUAUCAUUUUAACAGCAAGGUUGUUUUCUCAAAAUGCCAAAUAAAUGUGGAAUUCUUGCAGGUAAAUUGCUGUUGUAUAAAAAAAAAAAA